rnacentral:rRNA from 1 species
UACGGGGGGGGCAAGCGUUGUUCGGAAUUACUGGGCGUAAAGGGCUCGUAGGUGGCCAACUAAGUCAGACGUGAAAUCCCUCGGCUUAACCGGGGAACUGCGUCUGAUACUGGAUGGCUUGAGUUUGGGAGAGGGAUGCGGAAUUCCAGGUGUAGCGGUGAAAUGCGUAGAUAUCUGGAGGAACACCGGUGGCGAAGGCGGCAUCCUGGACCAAUACUGACGCUGAGGAGCGAAAGCGUGGGGAGCGAACAGG